UACGGAGGGGGCGAGCGUUAUUCGGAAUUACUGGGCGUAAAGGGCUCGUAGGUGGCCAACUAAGUCAGACGUGAAAUCCCUCGGCUUAACCGGGGGAACUGCGUCUGAUACUGGAUGGCUAGAGAUUGGGAGAGGGAUGCGGAAUUCCAGGUGUAGCGGUGAAAUGCGUAGAUAUCUGGAGGAACACCGGGUGGCGAAGGCGGCAUCCUGGACCAACACUGACGCUGAGGAGCGAAAGCCAGGGGAGCAAACGGG
rnacentral:rRNA from 1 species